UGCUGCUAUACAGCCAGCCAUAGCCAUUUCUGCCUUUACCUUCCAUCCUCCUUUUACCCAAGUGCCUUUUCAUUCAUGAGAUCACAAGAAGACACCCAAUCCUUAGCUCAUGUGCCAGAUUUGGGCAUCUCCACAUCUGGAAGCAGAUGUUUAAAUAGAAUAGUAGCAACCGAAGGAAUGUGGCAGCAAUGCAGAAUUUAUUCAGCCUGUAGAAUCAAGCCUUGAGCUGUGAGGCUCAGAAUCUCCACUUCUGUAAAAUGAAUAAAGCAAUUUAUUCACUUA
rnacentral:lncRNA from 1 species